CAGCACCUCAAGUGGUCAGGAUGAUUAUUGGGCCUAAAGCAUCCGUAGCCGGCGCUGUAAGUUUUCGGUUAAAUCCAUACGCUCAACGUAUGGGCUGCCGGGAAUACUGCAAAGCUAGGGAGUGGGAGAGGUAGACGGUACUCGGUAGGAAGGGGUAAAAUCCUUUGAUCUAUUGAUGACCACCUGUGGCGAAGGCGGUCUACCAGAACACGUCCGACGGUGAGGGAUGAAAGCUGGGGGAGCAAACCGGAUUAGAUACCCGAGUAGUCC
rnacentral:rRNA from 1 species